UACGUAGGGUGCGAGCGUUAAUCGGAAUUACUGGGCGUAAAGCGUGCGUAGGCGGUUCCUCAAGUCCGUUGUGAAAGCCCCGGGCUCAACCUGGGAAUGGCAGUGGAAACUAGGGGACUGGAAUCUGGCAGAGGGGGGUGGAAUGCCGCGUGUAGCAGUGAAAUGCGUAGAGAUGCGGCGGAACACCGAUGGCGAAGGCAGCCCCCUGGGCUGAGAUUGACGCUCAGGCACGAAGCGUGGGGAGCAAACAGG
rnacentral:rRNA from 1 species